ensembl:lincRNA 2810404F17Rik RIKEN cDNA 2810404F17 gene
ACGGUAGAACGCAGAGAGGAAAGUCAUUACAUGAGCUACAUGCAGAAGAGCCCUGGAAACGCAGCGAUGAUGGGAUGUAGUAAGACGGUAUUCAGAUAGGAAAGGGGUGAUGAUCUGAUACAAGCUGCUUGCAGACAAAUCCUGAAAACAUGGGCUAAUAAGCGAGGAUUCCAAAGGUGACAGGUUGCCUGAUUCCGCUUACAUCUGACACAAACAAGACAGAUCCAUAUGAACAGCAGCAGGUGGGAAAGUCUGCACUUCUUUAGGAACUGGCCAGGUGUCACUUCUCUAUGUCACCUGCACUUCCCUGGGUGAUGGCCCUUCAAAACCAGAGAGAUCGCUGGCCUCUUUCACAGAAGAAAGUGAAGAGCAUCCAUUGGUUGGGUGUGGGGAUGUCUUGUAAGUGGGGUGUAGAUUCUCGUGAUGUGGAUGAAGAAGAGACAAUCUGGAAACUCCAGAGGACGCAGUCAUCAUGGUGGUGACUGUCCGUCACUUUCCCAAGUCCACCAGAAAGUGAGGGUGUGAGGUUUGGGAAGAGUUUGUGAAACCAAUGAUCAGAGACAGGACAGCUCCCUGGAUGGGCUCAUGUAACCCUCAACUGCCAUCUCCUCAUGGUUAAAAUGAAAAGAUAGAAAUCAACCAACUCUGUGGCAUGUAUUGGCAGUUUCUGGACAUGGUACAAUCAAAAGACCAUGUAAGAAGCCGUGGAAUCCCAGACUAUCUCCUGUGACGUACGGCUACAUACGGCUUCCUGCUUCUGUGGGAGUCACUCCUGGUAGCAUUUCUGACCCAGGAAGACUUUUUCUACUUCACUUUGAGAUCAGAGUUGAAGCUCAACUUUUGGUCCCAUGAUAAUCAGUUGUUUUUUUGUUUUUUGUUUUUUUGUUUUUUUUUAAUAAACAUGAUCCAGGCACUGAAGCACACACACAGACCUAGAAAUGCAGUAUUUACUGAGGUGGUGUUUCUGGGCCGUGUUCAAAGGAUACUUGGCAGGUGUGCGUAGCAAAGGGACCCUAAAUGUCACAUAAACCAGGAGGCAGGGCACAUUGCACAAUGUACCGUCUCUAUUGCCUGGCUGUCAUAAAGUGACUCCUUCCGGGAUGGAUGUGUGCCGUCUCUUUCAUCUGUUAUUUGACUAAAUGAUGAAAGUGGCAAUUAGGUUUUCAUAGGCUGUGUUUACAUAACUUCUUUUUUGAAAACAAAAAAAAAGAAAAACAAAAAACCAAACAGUGCCAAUGUAUACAACCAACCGUCGGUAUAUUUACAUCUCCGGGGUGGAGUUAAGGCUGCUUUGUGGUAAACAUAAGGAAACUCACCAUGCUGGUUUCUCUUUUCUUUUCUUUUCUUUUCUUUUCUUUUCUUUUCUUUUCUUUUCUUUCUUUCUUUUUAUUUUUUUUCCAACCUCAAAUGAAGUUUCCCAUUAACCAAGAAUUUUAUUGGUUGGUUCAUUCUUGUUGUUAUCCAAAUCAGAAAUGAAACUUGUGUCGGGCCCAAACUCUCUUUAUUGCCAGUAGAACCGCUCAGACAGAGGGUCCUUACCUCUGGGGAUGAAGCUUGAAAGUUUACAUGGGAAACAAACAAGUGUGGCUGUGGCCCUAGGAAUGUUGACUCCAAAUCAUGCUGUUUCUGGGAAAGGGUGUUCUGAUCCGAUAUCGCCAAUAAUCUUCAUUACAAAUAAAAAGGCCGUCUUUAAAAUCCC